AGUCGAACGGUAACAUGAACUAGCUUGCUAGUUUGAUGACGAGUGGCGGACGGGUGAGUAAUGCUUGGGAAUUUGCCUUGAGGUGGGGGACAACAGUUGGAAACGACUGCUAAUACCGCAUAUUGUCUACGGACUAAAGGGGGCUUCGGCUCUCGCCUUUAGAGAAGCCCAAGUGGGAUUAGGUAGUUGGUGAGGUAAAGGCUCACCAAGCCGACGAUCCCUAGCUGGUCUGAGAGGAUGAUCAGCCACACUGGAACUGAGACACGGUCCAGACUCCUACGGGAGGCAGCAGUGGGGAAUAUUGCACAAUGGGCGCAAGCCUGAUGCAGCCAUGCCGCGUGUGUGAAGAAGGCCUUCGGGUUGUAAAGCACUUUCAGUCGUGAGGAAGGGUUAGUAGUUAAUACCUGCUAGCUUUGACGUUAGCGACAGAAGAAGCACCGGCUAACUCCGUGCCAGCAGCCGCGGUAAUACGGAGGGUGCGAGCGUUAAUCGGAAUUACUGGGCGUAAAGCGUACGCAGGCGGUUAGUUAAGUCAGAUGUGAAAGCCCCGGGCUCAACCUGGGAACUGCAUUUGAAACUGGCUAACUAGAGUGCGGCAGAGGGUGGUAGAAUUUCAGGUGUAGCGGUGAAAUGCGUAGAGAUCUGAAGGAAUACCGAUGGCGAAGGCAGCCACCUGGGCCGACACUGACGCUCAUGUACGAAAGCGUGGGUAGCAAACAGGAUUAGAUACCCUGGUAGUCCACGCCGUAAACGAUGUCUACUAGCAGCUCGCCUCGUUAGAGGGGUUUUGCGCAGCUAACGCGUUAAGUAGACCGCCUGGGGAGUACGGCCGCAAGGUUAAAACUCAAAUGAAUUGACGGGGGCCCGCACAAGCGGUGGAGCAUGUGGUUUAAUUCGAUGCAACGCGAAGAACCUUAGCCAUCCCUUGACAUCCAGAGAAUUUUCUAGAGAUAGAUUAGUGCCUUCGGGAACUCUGAGACAGGUGCUGCAUGGCUGUCGUCAGCUCGUGUUGUGAAAUGUUGGGUUAAGUCCCGCAACGAGCGCAACCCUUAUCCUUAGUUGCUAGCAGUUAGGCUGAGAACUCUAAGGAGACUGCCGGUGACAAACCGGAGGAAGGUGGGGACGACGUCAAGUCAUCAUGGCCCUUACGGGAUGGGCUACACACGUGCUACAAUGGCAAGUACAAAGGGUUGCGAACUCGCGAGAGUAAGCGGAUCCCAUAAAGCUUGUCGUAGUCCGGAUUGGAGUCUGCAACUCGACUCCAUGAAGUCGGAAUCGCUAGUAAUCGUAGAUCAGAAUGCUACGGUGAAUACGUUCCCGGGCCUUGUACACACCGCCCGUCACACCAUGGGAGUGGGCUGCAAAAGAAGUGGGUAGUUUAACCUUCGGGAGGACG
rnacentral:rRNA from 1 species